rnacentral:lncRNA from 1 species
AUGUUGCCGGCGGAGGCAUUUAGGUAGUGCACGACGGCUGGGCGCCGGGCCUGUUUGGCUGUGACGCCCACCCCCGGCUUUCAUCCGCCUAUGCCCUAGGGCUAGUGGAAGACUUAAGAUGGCGGCGUUUGCACGGAGUGCAAUCACUGCGUCCUUACGGGGGUUGCAAGGCGUCCGAAGUAUGAGUCCACUAACAAAAGUCCAGAAACUCGCCAGUUAAUAGUAUUGUGUCUCUUCAAAAUAUCGGAGAAUAAUUUCUUUCUCGCUGAUCGCCUAACUUCUACUGACGAAGCUUGGAAGUUGCAGAAGGUUGGAGUGCAAUGGCGCGAUCUCGGCUGACUGCAACCUCCACCUCCUGGAUUCAAGCUAUUCUCCUGCCUCAGCCUGCCGAGUAGCUGGGAUUACAGGCAUGUGCCACCGCACCCAGCUAAUUUUGUAUUUUUUAGUAGAGAUGGGGUUUCUCCAUGUUGGUCAGGCUGGUCUUGAACUCCUGACCUCAGGUGAUCCGCCCACCUCAGCCUCCCAAAGUGCUGGGAUUACAGGCGUGAGCCACCGCGCCCGGCCAGAACAUUAGUUUUAAACUUCCUAACCCUUGGGAGAAGGCAAAACACUUGAUGAAAUCUACAUAAAGACUAAAACAUUUUACCAAUUUUGCAUUGUUUGUUUGAAAUUGCAUUGACGACUGAUGGAGUUCGCUCUUGUUGCCCAGGCUGGAAUGCAAUGGCAUGACCUUGGCUCACUGCAACCUCUGCCUCCCCAGUUCAAGUGGUUCUCCUGCCUCAGCCUCCCGAGUAGCUGAGAUUACAGGUACUGGCUCCUGUAUCACCCAGCUCUGGAGUUGAAAGAGCUCUUCAUUCCUGAGUCUCCUGUACCACUGAGAAUAGAAAUACAAAAAAAAUUCUAAAACUUGUAUGGAACUACAAAAGACAUUAAAUAAUCAAAGUAAUCUUGAGCAACAAGGACACAGCUGGAGGCAUCACUCUACCUGAUUUUGUAAUCCAUUAUCAAAAAACUGUGGUACCAGCAUAAAAACAGAUUCACUGACCAGUGGAACAGGAAAGCCCAGACAUAACUCAUACAUUUCCAUCCAAUUGAUUUUUGACAAAAGUGGCACACAGAAUGGGGAGAGGACAAAUAAAUAAAUAAAUUGUUUUGAGAUAUCUGUAUAUCUAUAUGUGAAAUUGAACCAUUUUCUCAUAGCAUAUAGAAAAAUCAACUCAAAAUGGAUUAAAGCCUGAAAUGUUGCCUUUGAAACUGUAAAACUACUAGUAGAAAAUAUAGGGGAAAAGCUC